UACAGAGGGGGCAAGCGUUGUUCGGAAUUAUUGGGCGUAAAGGGCUCGUAGGCGGUUUGUCACGUCGGGAGUGAAAACUCGGGGCUUAACCCCGAGCCUGCUUCCGAUACGGGCAGACUAGAGGUAUGCAGGGGAGAACGGAAUUCCUGGUGUAGCGGUGAAAUGCGCAGAUAUCAGGAGGAACACCGGUGGCGAAGGCGGUUCUCUGGGCAUUACCUGACGCUGAGGAGCGAAAGUGUGGGGAGCGAACAGG
rnacentral:rRNA from 1 species